UAAGCGGAGGAAAAGAAACCAACAGGGAUUGCCCUAGUAACGGCGAGUGAACAGGCAAGAGCUCAGAUUUGAAAGGCACUUUUGUGCCGUUGUAUUCUGAAGUUAGGGUCCUGAGAAACGAUGCUUAAGUCUUCUGGAAAGGAGCGCCAUGGAGGGUGAUAGCCCCGUCUAGCAUUGACCUCAUAUAGGAUCUUAACAUGGAGUCGAGUUGUUUGGGAAUGCAGCUCAAAUGGGUGGUAUGCUCCAUCUAAAGCUAAAUAUCUGCGAGAGACCGAUAGUAAACAAGUACUGUGAGGGAAAGAUGAAAAGAACUUUGAAAAGAGAGUGAAAAAGUACGUGAAAUUGUUGAAAUGGAAGGGUAGGCCGCUAACCAUGUAGAGCCGUGUUUGGGGGGAAGAUAAAUGCUGUAGAAUGUAGCUCCUCGGAGUAUUAUAGAUGCAGUUCAUAUUCCCACCCGAGCGCGAGGAUCUCAGGUUCUACUAAAUGGUGGUCUACCACCCGUCUUGA
rnacentral:rRNA from 1 species